UACGAGGGGGGCAAGCGUUGUUCGGAAUUAUUGGGCGUAAAGGGCGUGUAGGCGGUCCGCUAAGUCUGAUGUGAAAGCCCGGGGCUCACCCCCGGAAGUGCAUUGGAAACUGGCGGACUCGAGUCCCGGAGAGGAGAGUGGAAUUCCUGGUGUAGCGGUGAAAUGCGUAGAUAUCAGGAGGAACACCGGUGGCGAAGGCGGCUCUCUGGACGGUGACUGACGCUGAGACGCGAAAGCGUGGGGAGCAAACAGG
rnacentral:rRNA from 1 species